CCUGGGGCUGGAGAAGGUCCCAAGGGUUGGGCUGUUCGCCCAUUAAAGUGGCACGCGAGCUGGGUUCAGAACGUCGUGAGACAGUUCGGUCCCUAUCUGUUGUGAUCGUUAGAAGCUUGAGAGGACCUGACUCUAGUACGAGAGGACCGAGUUGGACAAACCUCUAGUGUACCGGUUGUAGUGCCAACUGCACCGCCGGGUAGCUACGUUUGGAAGAGAUAAGCACUGAAAGCAUCUAAGUGCGAAGCUCACCUCAAGAUGAGGCUUCUUUUAAGGGACGUUCAAGACUAGGACGUUGAUAGGCUGUAAGUGUAAAGACAGAAAUGUCAAAGCUGAGCAGUACUAAUUACCCGUAACUUCCUCACAA
rnacentral:rRNA from 1 species